rnacentral:rRNA from 1 species
CAGUAGCCGCGGGAAUACGUAGGGUGCAAGCGUUAAUCGGAAUUACUGGGCGUAAAGCGUGCGCAGGCGGUUCGGAAAGAAAGAUGUGAAAUCCCAGAGCUUAACUUUGGAACUGCAUUUUUAACUACCGGGCUAGAGUGUGUCAGAGGGGGGUGGAAUUCCACGUGUAGCAGUGAAAUGCGUAGAUAUGUGGAGGAACACCGAUGGCGAAGGCAGCCCCCUGGGAUAACACUGACGCUCAUGCACGAAAGCGUGGGGAGCAAACAGGAUUAGAUACCCCCGUAGUCCCUGUCUCUUAUAA